ACCCUAACUUGGGGCAUUUAUUGGGUCUUUGUGACAAAUAGGUGCUCUCUGUUGGGAUGA
rnacentral:pre_miRNA from 1 species